AGUAAAGUGCGUAGCUGACCAGCGACGCCGCGUGGGGGAGAAGGCCUUCGGGUUGUAAACCCCUGUCCUUAGGGGACGACACGGGACGGUACCCUGCGAAUACCCCACGGGUAACUCUGUGCCAGCAGCCGCGGUAAUUGCGCGGUAAUAUAA
rnacentral:rRNA from 1 species